AUUGAACGCUGGCGGCAUGCCUUACACAUGCAAGUCGAACGGCAGCACGGGUGCUUGCACCUGGUGGCGAGUGGCGAACGGGUGAGUAAUACAUCGGAACGUACCUUAUCGUGGGGGAUAACGCAGCGAAAGCUGUGCUAAUACCGCAUACGCCCUGAGGGGGAAAGCGGGGGAUCGAAAGACCUCGCGCGACUAGAGCGGCCGAUGCCUGAUUAGCUUGUUGGUGGGGUAAAAGCCCACCAAGGCGACGAUCAGUAGCUGGGCUGAGAGGACGAUCAGCCACACGGGGAGUGAGACACGGCCCAGACUCCGACGGGAGGAAGCAGUGGGGAAUUUUGGACGAUGGGGGCAACCCUGAUCCAGCAAUGCCGCGUGAGUGAAGAAGGCCUUCGGGUUGUAAAGCUCUUUUGUCAGGGAAGAAACACCGGCUCUAACACAGUCCGGGAAUGACGGUACCUGAAGAAUAAGCACCGGCUAACUACGUGCCAGCCGCCGCAGUAA
rnacentral:rRNA from 1 species